UAUGAUCAUCUCUAGGUCCAUCCAUGUUGCUGCAAAUGGCAUUAUUUCAUUCUUUUUUACGGCUGAGUAAUACUCCAUCGUGUAUAUAUACCACAUCUUCUUUCUUGAAAGCCUUAUACAGCAUCAGAAAGACACUGAAUAAUAUAAGCGCCAUUCUGACACGGAGGAGUGCAAUCUUAUCUCACUGUAAAGACCCUUGGGGCUGGUCUUCAACACAUUGAAGAAAUUGUUAUUUCUUCCAGACAGCUGAGUGGGUGGAGAAAGAAAAGUGAUACGGAGAGCAUUUCUCGUCUUCGGCAUCUUCCUCCAUCCCCAGGAUUCUCAUCUGACGCUUUGUGAC